rnacentral:tRNA from 1 species
AUUGGGGUGGCAGAGCCAGGUAACUAAUGCAAAAGGCCUAAGCCCUUUACCCAGGGGUUCAACUCCCCUCCUCAAUU